CAGUAGCCGCGGGAAUAUGGAGGGGGCUAGCGUUGUUCGGAAUUACUGGGCGUAAAGCGCACGUAGGCGGCUUGGUAAGUUAGAGGUGAAAGCCUGGAGCUCAACUCCAGAAUUGCCUUUAAGACUGCCGAGCUAGCAGGUGAGAGAGGUAAGUGGAAUUCCGAGUGUAGAGGUGAAAUUCGUAGAUAUUCGGAAGAACACCAAUGGCGAAGGCAGCCCCCUGGGCCAAUACUGACGCUCAUGCACGAAAGCGUGGGGAGCAAACAGGAUUAGAUACCCGCGUAGUCCCUGUCUCUUAUAC
rnacentral:rRNA from 1 species